rnacentral:rRNA from 1 species
UACGUAGGGGGCAAGCGUUGUCCGGAAUUAUUGGGCGUAAAGCGCGUGUAGGCGGCUCGGUAAGUCUGCUGUGAAAGCCCAGGGCUCAACCCUGGAACGCCGGUGGAUACUGUCGAGCUCGAGUCCGGAAGAGGCGAGUGGAAUUCCUGGUGUAGCGGUGAAAUGCGCAGAUAUCAGGAGGAACACCAAUGGCGAAGGCAGCUCGCUGGGACGGUACUGACGCUGAGACGCGAAAGCGUGGGGAGCAAACAGG